CCUGUAAACUUUCGAUGUUACUUUCUGCGCCUACCAUGAUGAUCAUGGGUAAUGGGGAAUCAGGGUUCGAUUCCA
rnacentral:rRNA from 1 species